rnacentral:rRNA from 1 species
AACGAACGCUGGCGGCAUGCCUAACACAUGCAAGUCGAACGAGACCUUCGGGCCUAGUGGCGCACGGGUGCUUAACGCGUGGGAACUUGCCCUUAGGUUCGGAAUAACUCCCCGAAAGGGGUCCUAAUACCGGAUAAUGUCUUCGGACCAAAGAUUUAUCGCCUUUGGAUGGGCCCGCGUUGGAUUAGCUAGUUGGUAGGGUAAAAGCCUACCAAGGCGACGAUCCAUAGCUGGUCUGAGAGGAUGAUCAGCCACACUGGGACUGAGACACGGCCCAGACUCCUACGGGAGGCAGCAGUGGGGAAUAUUGGACAAUGGGCGAAAGCCUGAUCCAGCAAUGCCGCGUGAGUGAUGAAGGCCUUAGGGUUGUAAAGCUCUUUUACCCGGGAUGAUAAUGACAGUACCGGGAGAAUAAGCUCCGGCUAACUCCGUG